rnacentral:rRNA from 1 species
UACGUAGGGUGCGAGCGUUGUCCGGAAUUAUUGGGCGUAAAGGGCUCGUAGGCGGUUUGUCGCGUCGGGAGUGAAAACCAUGAGCUUAACUCAUGGCUUGCUUUCGAUACGGGCAGACUAGAGGUAUGCAGGGGAGAACGGAAUUCCUGGUGUAGCGGUGGAAUGCGCAGAUAUCAGGAGGAAAACCGAGGGCGAAGCAGAUCUCUGGGCCGUAACUGACGCUGAGGAGCGAAAGCGUGGGGAGCGAACAGG